rnacentral:rRNA from 1 species
AUUGAACGCUAGCGGGGUGCCUUACACAUGCAAGUCGAACGGAGUGGCGAACGGGUGAGUAAUGUAUCGGAACGUGCCCAGUAGCGGGGGAUAACUACGCGACAGCGUAGAUAAUACCGCAUACUAUUGGAGCGGCCGAUAUCGGAUUAGCUAGUUGGAGGGGUAACGGCUCACCAAGGCGACGAUCCGUAGAUGGUUUGAGAGGACGACCAGCCACACGGGGACUUAGACACGGCCCAGACUCCUACGGGAGGCAGCAGGGGGGAAUUUUGGAAAAUGGGGGAGACCCUGAUCCAGCCAUCCCGCGUGUGAGAUGAAGGCCUUCGGGUUGUAAAGCACUUUUGGCAGGAAAGCGGUACCUGCAGAAUAAGCAACGGCUAACUACGUGCCAGCAGCCGCGGUAAUUC